GGAGGACAGAAGUCAGCCUUAGGAUGCUGAGGCUGGGGCAGCAGCACUUCAAGGCUGGAGAGUUUGACACCCAUUCCAACCUUGGCUUCCCCACUACCGUGUGAGGCUGGACAAAGCACACAACAUCUCCAGGAUUCAGCUCCUUCCAUUGAACGCUUUGUGUUCUGACCUCUAUGGGAGCUGAAUGAGAUCAUGUAUGUUAUAUGACCAACAGCACAUGGAUGUUACUGCUAUGCUGCUGUAAUUCAGGACUACUGGGUUCCUAUGGGAAACUGGAAACCAGAGCCCCAGACAGGCCUUGGUUACAGAAAAACAAUGAGAACUUCCUAUGGCUGUGUCGGCAGGUCUGGUUGUCACCAAGAUCCUCUAAUUCAGAGACUCCCAACAGACACUUCCUCAUUUCUGGAGCACCUUCCUGUGCCAUGAGCCAGGCCAGGUUGAGGAGCUUUCUCCUUUGUGCUUUGUCCUGUGGAUCCUGAGGCAAGGGCUGGGCUGGGGAUCACACAGCCUCCCCUACCUGGAAACAUAGCUGAGAACCCGAGGCAGGAACUGGAAAGAGGAAGAUGGGGUCUUGAGGAGGAAAGAGUGGUAUGACAGACCCGCCUGGACUCCUUAGCGCUCUCAGGACUUCACCGCAAACAAAGGGGAACUCUGUUAUCGGGAGCAAAACCUGAACCACCAACGCCUGGAGAACAGCGACAUCUCCCGGCUGCCUGCAGCCAGGAUGCUCAUCCCUGGCCAGAGCCGAGGGGCCAUUCUAAAACCAUCUGGGACGCCUGACACCUUUAGUAUCCCGUAAUAAAGCAGUUUCAGCAUCUGAUGC
rnacentral:lncRNA from 1 species